UCGAAUUUAAAGCUUGGUUGAGCUGACACUCCGGUGUAUGUGCUUGCCUCGCCGUCCAUUCUCAACACCUGUGCACAAUCAAGUUUCAGAUGAGGGGGUUUUCUCAGUCGGCUCUACGCCGGUUGGGGACUCUUCUUUGUUUGUUACCUUGCCUUAUUAAACAUACCCUACUUUUAAAUUGUCUAUGAACGUCAAAUGUAGGCGCACCGUAAAACCGUGACGCUGAAAUUAAAUUAUA
rnacentral:misc_RNA from 1 species